rnacentral:rRNA from 1 species
GAUCAUUACAAGAUAUAUGGCCUCUGGCCACAUUAGCACAAGGCGCAAGCCUUGAUGUUUACGCUUGCAUGUUUGACAAAUUAGUGGUGAAAAAUUAAUGACAACUUUAAACAAUGGAUCUCUUGGCUCUUGCAUCGAUGAAGAACGCAGUAAAGUGCGAUAUGUAGUGCGAUUUGCAUGAAUCUGUGAGUCAUCUAAUCUUUGAACGCAACUUGCGCCUCUCUGAGGCAUGUCUGUUUGAGUGCCAUAUUCAUUUAUGAAUUUAUUCGAAUUGAUUUCAACGCAUUGUUUUAAUCUAAACGCAGCCAGUUUUCACUUUAAUACAUGCUAUUAAAGCCUAAGUGCUAGGCAUUCUUGGCUAGUAGGGUGUAAAAGUUUUAAACUUGGCCUCAAAUCAGGCAAGACUACCCGCUGAACUUAAGCAUAUCAAUAAGCGGAGG